rnacentral:lncRNA from 1 species
GGUGAUGUUUGGACUUUAUUAGCCUGUUAGAGGUUUGCCAAUGGGUUGGAAACCAUCAAUGUUUUAAAGUUAGUCAACAUUUGGUUCCAUUCAAUGUUGUUGAUGUGUUUUUGACCUUAGGUUUAAAAAUAGGGGGUUUAGACGUCUCUUAUGAUGUAUCAGUAGUUGAUAUGGUAGGUGAAAUGUUUAAUUCGAAAACAACUAUUAUGAAGGAGCUCAUUAAUAUGUUUAAUAUGAUAGUGUAGAGUGAUGAGAUUGAGCUUGAUGUAGUUUGUUGUUUGUAUCUAUUAGUAUGUUUUAUUGUAUUUUAUUUUCCUAGGAAGUCUAUGUAUGUUUCUAACAUGUCUUGUAUAGUGUUAGAUGACUUAGAGAAUUUGUGUCGAUAGAUUGGACCACCGCUCUACAUAAAUAUAUUAUAGAAUUUGUGUCGAUAUGAUUGGACCACCGCUCUACAUAAAUAUAUUGUACAUAGUUUAAAUAGAUGUUCUAAGAAAAUACUGUCUAGAGAUAUCGUUGAAUCGUUAAGUACCAGUGGCAAUAUCAUUGUGUUGCAGGUAAUAUAAGUUAUAAUUGAUUAUGUUAAUGGAAUGAAUUACAUUGUAUAUUUUCUAACUAUUGCUGGUGAUAUUGUAGGGUGGGGCAUUUGAACGGCUUUCUUUGCAUGCUCGUAAGACUAAUGUUUCAUUCCCCCGCAUGAGAAGAUGGUCAUCCUUUAAUUGAAGGACCUAAAAAAUUGAAGUGUUGUUCCAGACAACAGAUGUAAGUAUCUUAACCUAUUUGGGUGUUUUAUUUUUUUUAAUGAUAUUAUUUGAGUAAAUAAGUUUUUUUUAUUGUUGUAGGUAUGUUUCGGUUGGUACCUAAGGCCGCAGGAUCGUCGAAACCCUGUCUGCCGCGAGACUUUCCAUAUGGAUGAGGGAGCGAUGCCUGAAGGAUCGAGGGCUAAAGAAACAAUAGCUGAAAACUCAGAUGACGACAGUUGGGAAGCAGC